rnacentral:rRNA from 1 species
UACAGAGGUCUCAAGCGUUGUUCGGAUUCAUUGGGCGUAAAGGGUGUGUAGGUGGCGCGCUAAGUCGGGUGUGAAAUUUCGGAGCUUAACUCCGAAACUGCAUUCGAUACUGGCGUGCUUGAGGACUGGAGAGGAGACUGGAAUUCAUGGUGUAGCAGUGAAAUGCGUAGAGAUCAUGAGGAAGACCAGUGGCGAAGGCGGGUCUCUGGUCUGUAACUGACGCUGAGGCGCGAAAGCGUGGGGAGCAAACAGG